UAUAUAAUAGUCUUUUACAAUAACAUUUAGUUUAAUAUCAAAAUAUAAUGAAAAUAGCUAUAGUUAAAAGAAAUAAGGUUACUUUUCAACUUUCAUAAAUAAAAAGUAUCGACUGUAAAAUAAAAAUAUAGUAUAUUAAAAAUAUUUCUUUUAAGAGAAAAAUAGAGGAGUAUAUUGGAGGUGAACUUAUUUUUAAAUCAAGUUUUCUUAUUUUAGAGACGGAAAUAGAGAAAUAAAUUCGAAAUGAUAUAAGUUGGAGAUAAAUCUUAUAAAAUAAAAAUAAACAAAACUUUACUUACCUUUUUAAAAAAAAAAAUUAGAAGAGAAGAAAAAGAAAGUGACAGCUCAUAUAAGGGUGAGCACUCGAAUACGCAUUCAUAUUGGAUCAGAUAUUUUAGAUUUUCAUUUAUUUUAAUUGAAAAUUCUUUAUUGGCUUGGGUAUGUUUUAUAUUUGGGUCGG
rnacentral:lncRNA from 1 species